CAUCUCUAUUCCAAAAUAACAAUUCUUUCAUCUUUUAAUUACAAUUAAACUAAAACUAAUCUUGUGAAUUUCAUGUAUUCGAAUCCGCAGUGAUAUCUUUUGGGCAGGACUCAAUGAUGAGAAAGUGACAAACCAUGAUCUCAAAGAUAUUGUAUGGGACCUGGAACUGUCACAAAACGUUAUUGAGGCCUAUAUCCAAAUAGAGGAGGAUAAAAUAGAGCCCAUGCAGACAGAGAGUCCACAGUACAUGUCCACAUGGACUUGGGCUUACAUGCAAAGCUUCCUAGAG